rnacentral:rRNA from 1 species
UACGUAGGUGGCAAGCGUUGUCCGGAUUUACUGGGCGUAAAGAGCGCGCAGGCGGUCGUUUAAGUCGAAUGUGAAAGCCCCCGGCUCAACUGGGGAGGGUCAUUCGAUACUGAUCGACUUGAAGGCAGGAGAGAGAAGUGGAAUUCCCGGUGUAGUGGUGAAAUGCGUAGAUAUCGGGAGGAACACCAGUGGCGAAGGCGACUUCUUGGCCUGUUCUUGACGCUGAGGCGCGAAGGCGUGGGGAGCGAACGGG